rnacentral:rRNA from 1 species
AAGCCGCGAGGUGGAGCUAAUCCCAUAAAACCGAUCGUAGUCCGGAUCGCAGUCUGCAACUCGACUGCGUGAAGUCGGAAUCGCUAGUAAUCGUGAAUCAGAAUGUCACGGUGAAUACGUUCCCGGGCCUUGUACACACCGCCCGUCACACCAUGGGAGUGGGUUGCUCCAGAAGUAGCUAGUCUAACCUUCGGGGGGACGGUUACCACGGAGUGAUUCAUGACUGGGGUGAAGUCGUAACAAGGUAGCCGUAGGGGAACCUGCGGCUGGAUCACCUCCUUAAUCGAAGA